UACGUAGGGUGCGAGCGUUGCCCGGAUUUAUUGGGCGUAAAGGGCGCGUAGGCGGCCACGCACGUCCGUUGUGAAAUCGCCCGGCUCAACUGGGCGGGGUCAGCGGAUACGGUGUGGCUCGAGCAAGCUAGGGGGCAAUGGAAUUCCCGGUGUAGUGGUGGAAUGCGUAGAUAGUCGGGAGGAACACCAGUGGCGAAGGCGGUUGCCUGGAGCUUUGCUGACGCUGAGGCGCGAAAGCUGGGGGGAGCAAACAGGG
rnacentral:rRNA from 1 species